AAGAUUUUAAGUUAAAGAAACUGUGGGCCUUCAAAGCCUAAAAUAAAAAAUAAUUUUUAAAUCUUG
rnacentral:tRNA from 1 species